UUUUAAUAUUUGUGUAGUGUUAAUGUUUCAUGUGUUGUGUGUGCUUGUAUGAAUCUAAUAGGUAUUUUUUCCCCGGGUGCAUCAACAAUCUUUAACUGAAAUUCAUCAAAAGGAUCCAAGCAACCCGAGCAUCCACGCAACCAGAGAUACCGUCAUUCGGUGUUUGAUGGUGUACCUUGGAGAAUCCACGGAUCAACUCUUAAAAGAAUAUGAUGAUGCUGAUGAAGACAGUGUGGCGCAGGACCUUGCCACGCAAAAGAUACAAAUCUAUAUCUGUCUGUAUCGUUUUAGAGGGACUAAAAGUUGUGACUGCUCUGGAUAACAUUCUGAGGGCUUGCUGCAUGCUGGUUGGGUUGGUGUAUACAGUCAACCUUGCCUAUCCCAAGGAGCUCCGAUAUACUUUCGAGGUCUUUCAGAAACUCCUACUGGAGCUGGACUGUUCAAAGCUGUCCCCGAAAGUAAACAGCCUCAAAAACAAACUGUUAACCUAAUAGAAUGGACCCUUGUGGAACAAUUUAUAUGUCACUGUUCAAAACUCACCUGUGGUUAAGUUCAACUCGUUCAAUGCUUGAGUUUAUUAUUUUUUUAAGGAUCCCAGUGAGAAGUGUAGUUGUGCCAUGUUAUUUGAUGCACAAGCAGCUGUUUGUGUAGUGUUUUAACUGUAAGCCGGAAUUGCAUAUUGUGUGUUUUUACAGAGAAGUUUGCACAUGAAGAAUUUUAUAAAUGUUAUAAAUGUAACAAAUUUGCACAAAUAAAUGUUUACCUGCUGUA